rnacentral:lncRNA from 1 species
CUGCAAUAGAGUGGGGAUGCUAGAAGUCGUUUCUUAAAUUCGUUCGGAAAACAUGUGUCUUCUGUUUAUUAAAAUGUAUUUGAAAAAGUUUAGCAUGAAUUUUGCAAGUUUUUCUAAAAAUUCAAUUGGAGAGAAAAUACUUUGGAGCAAUAUUAAGGUAUUGCAAGUGACCAAAGAAAGCCCAAAUAUUAUUUUCUACAAGGAAACCUUUGGUACCAAUUCAUUUAAACAAAUUAACGUUCGAAUGAAUGAAGUUGACAAUAUGGCUCCAGCUUAUAUGGAACGCCCUAAAAUUCCCUUUAAGAAAAAA